rnacentral:rRNA from 1 species
GGGCUCACACAAGCGGUGGAGCAUGUGGAUUAAUUCGAAGCAACGCGCAGAACCUUACCUGGGUUUGACAUGCUUGGAUGGCUGCCGGGAAACCGGUUCGUCUGCCCUUCGGGGUGAAACUUGCACAGGUGCUGCAUGGCUGUCGUCAGCUCGUGUCGUGAGAUGUCGGGUUAAGUCCUUUAACGAGCGAAACCCUUACCGUUAGUUGCCAUCAGGUUAUGCUGGGAACUCUAACGGGACUGCCGGUGUUAAACCGGAGGAAGGUGGGGAUGACGUCAGGUCCUCAUGGCCUUUAUGCCCAGGGCUUCACACGUGCUACAAUGGCGACUACAGAGCGACGCAAGACCGCGAGGUAGAGCAAAUCGCAAAAAAGUCGCCCCAGUUCAGAUUGCAGGCUGGCAACUCGCCUGCAUGAAGGUGGAAUCGCUAGUAAUCGCGUAUCAGCGAUGACGCGGUGAAUGUGUUCCUGAGCCUU